CACCGCGGUUAUACGAGGGGCUCAAGUUGAUAAACACCGGCGUAAAAAGUGGCUAGUGUACCACUAAACUAAAGCUAAACAUCUUCAGAGGUGUUAUACCCAUACGAAGACAGGAAGUACUUCUACGAAAGUAGCUUUAAAUAAUUCUAUCCACGAAAGCUAGGAAA
rnacentral:rRNA from 1 species